UAUGCUUCUCCUAAAGACUAAGCCAUGCAUGCCUUCGAAUAAGAGGAAGCAAUUCUCUCUGAAUCUGCGAACGGCUCCGCAAACCAGUUGUAAACUAAAGCAAGCAAGCCUGCGGUCUGGCCUUUACGGGUCGGGCCGUAGGUGAUAUGGAUAACCCUGGUAAUUCUGAGGCUAAUACAUGAACGUAAACCCUGGCUGACCUUUACGGGAACGCUGGGGGGCAUGUGACUAUUUUCGCAAGGAAUACCGGGAAGGGGUGCAUGCUCGGACCGCGACAAAGACAGAUACGGUGAUCCCUCGGGAGAUCUGUGCCUGAGCGGCUCUUGCUAUGUGCUUCUGACCUAUCAACUAGAUGGCAGCGUAACGGACAUGCCAUGGUUACAACGGGUACAGAGGAUUAGGGUUCGAUCCUGGAGAGUGGGCCUGAGAGAUUGCUCAUACUUCUAAGGAAGGCAGCAGGCGCGCAACGUUCCCCUUGGACAAUGUCCGAGGGCGUUAGGGGACAUAUGAAUGCCUGCCUUUUAGGUGGGCAAUUCAAAUGGGUCUGUUCUAAACAGCCUCUCGAGUAACAAUUAGAGGA
rnacentral:rRNA from 1 species